rnacentral:rRNA from 1 species
GUGGGGAAUCUUCCGCAAUGGACGAAAGUCUGACGGAGCAACGCCGCGUGAGUGAAGAAGGUUUUCGGAUCGUAAAGCUCUUUCGUUAGGGACGAACGUGCUCUUUGUGAAUAAUGAGGAGUAAUGACGGUACCUAAAUAAGAAGCCACGGCUAACUACGUGCCAGCAGCCGCGGUAAUACGUAGGUGGCAAGCGUUGUCCGGAAUUAUUGGGCGUAAAGCGCGCGCAGGCGGGAUAUCAAGUCUGUCUUAAAAGUGCGAGGCUCAACCUCGUGUGGGGACAGAAACUGGUAUUCUUGAGUGUCGGAGAGGAAAGUGGAAUUCCAAGUGUAGCGGUGAAAUGCGUAGAGAUUUGGAAGAACACCAGUGGCGAAGGCGACUUUCUGGACGAUGUCUGACGCUGAGGCGCGAAAGCUAGGGGAGCGAACGGGAUUAGAAACCCGAGUAGUCC